UACGAAGGGGGCUAGCGUUGUUCGGAAUUACUGGGCGUAAAGCGUGCGUAGGCGGCCUCUCAAGUCAGGGGUGAAAGCCCAGAGCUCAACUCUGGAAUUGCCUUUGAGACUGAGUGGCUUGAGUGCGAGAGAGGUGAGUGGAAUUCCCAGUGUAGAGGUGAAAUUCGUAGAUAUUGGGAAGAACACCGGUGGCGAAGGCGGCUCACUGGCUCGUAACUGACGCUCAUGCACGACAGCGUGGGGAUCAAACAGG
rnacentral:rRNA from 1 species